rnacentral:lncRNA from 1 species
GCUGAUCUGAAUUAUCUUGGUCCAACACUUUAGGAUUUCUACAACUUCAUCAAAUCUUUUGUUCUAUUGUCCAUUUGUUUGUGUUCCAUCUACAAUGUAGUUGUAUCUAAUUGCUGCUGCACAUGGCCUAGUGCGUCCUCAUGUUGUUGGAAUGAUUCGUCUAAUUCUACUUAUUCACCACCAUUGCAACUUUUGAAAAAAUCGAUGGCAUAGGAACUUCUAAUGCUAUGAUAUGGAUGAGCCCGGGGGGGUGGACAAUAGGGGCUAUGCCCCCCGCAAACAUCGGUAAAUACCUAAUGUACUAUAUAGUAGAUAGAGAGGAAUCUUGGUUAUUGCAGUAUAUUGGCCUAGGCUUUCCAAGAUUUAAUUCUAGUUCCUCCAUAGCUUUAGCUUCCAAAUCAAGCUAAAACUAUCCUUGUUAUAUUAUUGUAUCCUAUUCUUAAGGAACAUCUUAUGUUGACAAAUAAAUAACUAAAUAAAUAAAUUUUGUCAAAUAGAAAUGAAUGAUUAGGUUCCAAGAACACAACCUUGGAAUUUUGGGCAUAUUGGUUAAUAGUUUUCCUAGGACAAGAAGAGCAUCUUUGCCCCAUGCUCAUUACAUUUGUGUUUCUAUUAUCACCUUUCUCCCAUACACCAUCCGCCCUUUAUGGUGGUGUUCAUGGACCUUCACAAAAAACUAACUCCCACUUAGGCAGCAAUGGAUUUUUGUUGGAGUUUUAUGAGUGUCUACAAAGAAAAAUAGCUUUAAGGAAAAGUAAGAGCAAAUAUGAGAUUGUCUUUCAAUAAGCCAUUAAUAG